UACAGAGGUCUCAAGCGUUGUUCGGAUUCAUUGGGCGUAAAGGGUGCGUAGGUGGCGCGCUAAGUCGGGUGUGAAAUUUCGGAGCUUAACUCCGAAACUGCAUUCGAUACUGGCGUGCUCGAGGACUGGAGAGGAGACUGGAAUUUACGGUGUAGCGGUGAAAUGCGUAGAUAUCGAGAGGAACACCAGAGGUGAAGACGGGUUGCUGGGCUGACACUGACGCUGAGGCGCGAAAGCCAGGGGAGCAAACGGG
rnacentral:rRNA from 1 species